ensembl:misc_RNA 7SK 7SK RNA
GCCCCAUCUGUGACAUCUGUCACCCCAUUGAUCCCCAGGGUUGAUUCGGCUGGUCCGGCUGGCUAGGCGGGUGUCCCCUUCACGGCUUCAUGUGUGUCCCUCCCAAAGUUGCACACUCGGUCGAAGAGGAUGACCUUCCCAGAAUAGAGGAGGACCAGUCUUCAGUCAAGGGUAUACGAGCAGCUGUACUCUCCUGCUAGAACCUCCAAACAAGCUCUCAUUUUAUGAUUUAACCAAUAACAUGGAGUCAGUACUUUAAUUAGGAACCAGAAAUAAGCUCAGGGUGAGCUCAGAUGUAU